CCGCCACCGCCGCCGCCGUUGCGGGCCUCCGGGCCGCAACCGCCGACCAGAUGGAUUACCUCAAGACGGUGGUGCCGUCGCAGCUAAUGGCCGAGCGCGGCGCCAACCUCGUCGUCAUCAACCCAGGAUCUACAAACGUGCGCAUGGGGUUUGCGAGUCAGGACGUGCCGUUCAAUGUGCCGCACUGCAUUGCC